CACACUAGCCCCAUAGCUUCCGCACAGCAAGGCCAGUCUACUAGUAUCUAUGGUCGAAGGUUAAACCGCGACUUUGCGAUAUCAGUGAUUUCUGUGAAUGCUAGUUUUCAGUAUCUGUUAUUCUUAACUGUGAUUUGUCGCAGUUAAGGAACCUAGGUCGUGUAUCCCUCCGCCACUGCUACUUCCGCGAUUUCUGUGACUUCUGCAAUUUCUGUGACACACCACCCUAUGAAAAAGUAACAUCUGUCCACACAGAAAAUUGCAUCACAACAAACCUGUCAUUGGUACCCGAACUACAUUUCAGUCACUCAGUAACCUGAUAACUCAAAAUAUCAUUGUCAACAGAUCUGGAGAAAUUGCCACUGCGUCUUUAGACCGUUUUCGUCAGACGAGAGACACAGUUCUGACUCUGAUUACUGGUUGCUGUACAUAUCGAUCCACAUCAAGGCUGUUGAUAGAGACUCGUGAAGAUUCAAGACAGCUCUUAGAGGAUUUGCAGUUUAAAAGUGACAUAAUUGUGAAAUAAGUGUGCAGAUGAGGGAU